UACGAAGGGGGCUAGCGUUGUUCGGAAUUACUGGGCGUAAAGCGCACGUAGGCAGAUAAUUAAGUCAGGGGUGAAAUCCCGCAGCUCAACUGCGGAACUGCCUUUGAUACUGGUUAUCUUGAGUAUGGAAGAGGUAAGUGGAAUUGCGAGUGUAGAGGUGAAAUUCGUAGAUAUUCGUAGGAACACCAGUGGCGAAGGCGGCUUACUGGUCCAUUACUGACGCUGAGGUGCGAAAGCGUGGGGAGCAAACAGG
rnacentral:rRNA from 1 species